AGUGAACGCUGGCGGUAGGCCUAACACAUGCAAGUCGAACGGCAGCACAGUAAGAGCUUGCUCUUACGGGUGGCGAGUGGCGGACGGGUGAGGAAUACAUCGGAAUCUACUUUUUCGUGGGGGAUAACGUAGGGAAACUUACGCUAAUACCGCAUACGACCUACGGGUGAAAGCAGGGGAUCUUCGGACCUUGCGCGAUUGAAUGAGCCGAUGUCGGAUUAGCUAGUUGGCGGGGUAAAGGCCCACCAAGGCGACGAUCCGUAGCUGGUCUGAGAGGAUGAUAGGCCACACGGGAACUGAGGAACGGUCGAGACUCCUACGGGACGCAGAAGUGGGGAAUAUUGGAAAAUGGGAGCAAGUGUGAUCCAGCCAUACCGGGUGGGUAAAGAAGGCAUUCGGGUUGAAAAGCCUUUUUGUUGGGAAAAAAAAGCAGGAGGUUAAUACCCCGCUGUUCUGAGGGUACCAAAAGAAGAAGCACAGACUAACUUAGUG
rnacentral:rRNA from 1 species